AUUUCAUCUUCUAAACUAAAACAAAAUUGUUUCAGUUCGACUUAGACCGAAGUCAAUUCUUCAUAUGAUGAAAUUUUCUAAGAUGAUUUGUGUUGAUCCAGUAAGUACAGGAUUAAGAUGAAGAUUAGAGAUUAUGAAAGUUUGACGUAGGAGUAUUUACACAUUCCCUUCAGACUAGAUUGACUUUAAAAUACAGUUUUGAAAGAAUUCUGUGGUUUGUUGAACAAUACUUUAAUAUAUUCUAUAUCUGAUGAAACAUUGAAGAUAAUAUUUGUAUGAUACAACACAUUAAAGAGAACACGAACG
rnacentral:lncRNA from 1 species